UACGGAGGGUGCAAGCGUUGUUCGGAAUUAUUGGGCGUAAAGGGCGCGUAGGCGGUAAUGCAAGUCAGAUGUGAAAUACUCCGGCUCAACUGGGGAACUGCAUCUGAAACUGCAUAACUAGAGUACAGAAGAGGGAAACGGAAUUCCCGGUGUAGAGGUGAAAUUCGUAGAUAUCGGGAGGAACACCAGUGGCGAAGGCGGUUUCCUGGUCUGAUACUGACGCUGAGGCGCGAAAGUGUGGGGAGCAAAC
rnacentral:rRNA from 1 species